AGACAGCAGUAGCCGCGGUAAUACAGAGGGUGCGAGCGUUAAUCGGAUUUACUGGGCGUAAAGCGUGCGUAGGCGGCUAAUUGAGUCGGAUGUGAAAUCCCCGAGCUUAACUUGGGAAUUGCAUUCGAUACUGGUUAGCUAGAGUGUGGGAGAGGAUGGUAGAAUUCCAGGUGUAGCGGUGAAAUGCGUAGAGAUCUGGAGGAAUACCGAUGGCGAAGGCAGCCAUCUGGCCUAACACUGACGCUGAGGUACGAAAGCAUGGGGAGCAAACAGGAUUAGAGACCCGCGUAGUCCCUGUCUCUUAUAA
rnacentral:rRNA from 1 species